rnacentral:rRNA from 1 species
CGGCGAACGGGUGAGUAACGCGUGGGUGAUCUACCUUCGAGUGGGGAAUAACACCGGGAAACUGGUGCUAAUACCGCAUGACAUCCUCGGUUCGUUCCGAGGAUCAAAGCCGGGGACCGUAAGGCCUGGCGCUUGAAGAGGAGCCCGCGUCCGAUUAGCUUGUUGGCGGGGUAAUGGCCCACCAAGGCUUCUAUCGGUAGCCGGCCUGAGAGGGCGGACGGCCACACUGGGACUGAGACACGGCCCAG